UAUAUGGUUUGCUGGAAUAGGUAGUUGCUGGAAUUUUAUUAUAGGUAUAUAGUUUCUUGAAUUUUUGUUUUAAUUUAAUGAAAUAGGUAUGUUAUGUUUUUAAUUUUUAAUCAAAUAGGUUUGCUGGAAUUUUUAUUUAAAUCAAGUAGGUAUGUUCUGUUUUAAAUCAAAUUUGUUUUAAAUUUUUGUUUUAAUUUAAUCAAAUAGGUGUGUUAUGUUUUAAAUUGUUUUUGAAUUUUUUAUUUAAAUAUUCUGUUUUAAUUAAUUAUUUAAAUUUUCUCUUUUAAUUUAUGUCAUUUUUUAGGUUGAAUUUGAUUGAUCUCCGUUCCCCGCUGUGCCGAACUCUUUUUAAUUGUUGUUGGACCAUCUCAC
rnacentral:lncRNA from 1 species